AGCAGCCGCGGUAAUUCCAGCUCCAAUAGCGUAUAUUAAAGUUGUUGCAGUUAAAAAGCUCGUAGUUGAAUUUCGGGGUCUGUCCGUCGGUCGGGCUUUACGGUCCGUACUGGUGUGAUGGGUUCCUACCUUCUGAAUAACCGGCAUGCCAUUCAGUUGGUGCGCCGGGGAAGCAGAGCUAUUACCUUGAAAAAUUAGAGUGCUUAAAGCAGGCUAGUGCUUGAAUAGAUUAGCAUGGAAUAAUAAAAUAGGACGGCAUGGUUCUAUUUUGUUGGUUUCUAGGAUCACCGUAAUGAUUAAUAGGGAUAGUUGGGGGCAUUAGUAUUCAAUUGUCAGAGGUGAAAUUCUUGGAUUUAUUGAAGACUAACUUCUGCGAAAGCAUUUGCCAAGGAUGUUUUCAUUAAUCAAGAACGAAAGUUAGGGGAUCGAAGACGAUCAGAUACCGUCGUAGUCUUAACCAUAAACUAUGCCGACUAGGGAUCGGACGUAUGUUUAAUUUUUUAAUGUACUCAUUCCGGCG
rnacentral:rRNA from 1 species